AAUUAAAUUAAAAAUUACAGUUAUAAUAUGAUAUCUAUUUUUCAUAUAGUGUAAGAAACUUUCGUAUUAAUUGUGCAGGAGACUGUUAAUUUAAACUUUAUUAUGGUAACGUUCAAAACUCGCUCGUUUUGCAAAGUUACGUUUGGAGAUUCAUGUUAACAGUCAUUGUUUAAUGAAAGGCACAUUGGACUACGGCUUAGUAAUAUGUGUGACACUUGCUUGCAGCACUGUAACGUAAAUCGUUAACACCGUGUCCUAAAUAGACGUGACACGCGGUACCGGGUUUCUUUUCAGUUUAUGUCUUUACGUUAUAGGACGGGUCAUUAUAAAUUAUGCCUUUCGAUUAUCGCAACGCCUCGUCGCGUUUGGUUAAGCACAUGGUGGAACAGUAUGCACAUCACUGUACCUAACGUACUGUACACCUGUGAGCGGCACGACGAGACAAAAGACGGUAAAACUCAUUAUUAAUCGGUGAUGCUGUACAUUCUGGAUGAUGCACAGCCACAUUUUAUAAUACUGUUUUUUAUUUUCGUGUCGCGCCGCUCGCGUUCAAUAUAAAGUUAGACAAGACGCAAUUAAUUACUGGGAGAGUAACUGUAGUGGUCUAAUGGUAAGAGUCGAACUUCACGAACCUUUCACUGCUUGCAGUAAGGCUAAAGUGCUACGUGAAUAAGAUGGGUGUAGUUUUGUGCUACUAGCUGUAAAGUGUUUUUGCACUAUUGAGUUAUAAAUACUGCCCAGUAAUACUUAACUAGAUGUAAAUCACAAUUCUUGUGUCAAUGUUUGUUUGUAAUCUUUUUCAGCUAUCCAUCUGAAAAAGAAAAGCUGGCACUCUCAAAGGAGAUUGUGUUGUUGGAUUAUGGUCUCAUUUGGUCAAAAAGAGGGACAUGUACCGAGCAUUUUUUUUUUUUUUGAUGGGCCAUCACACAGUGGAUUUAUAAAAUGAGAUUACAGAACAUCAGACGGUAGCUUCAACAGAGUUGAAGUGGGAGGACAUCAUCAAUAAAGAAUGCCAUUGACCAAACCUUCAGUCAUCAAAGAAGAUGGAUACAGGUAAUGACAAAAUCACCAAUUAUUGGUGAAAUCUUUAAGGAAUAUCCCCAAUUUCUGGACAUGCCAGUGUUUGUAAUAUACUUAAAGGCGGGGUGCACAAUGUUUGAAAGCCAAUGUUGAUAUUUGCAAUCACCUAAACAAACACGCCCCUACCCCAAUAGAAUCUGGACCUUCUUUUAAAAGACCCGCCCCACACAUACGCAACGUGGCAAGGAUGUCGGUUAGUAGACACGCUCCUUACUGCUGAUUGGCUAUAAAUGUGUUUUGGUAGUCGGCCCGUCUCCUUUUCCAAAGCGUUUUUCAAACAUUGUGCACUCCGCCUUUAACUGGAGAUAACUUUACACAAAGUGUUUCAUAAUUCCAAUAUUAAUAUUUCUUUUUAAAUUCACUGACAUCAAGUUUUCCAGACUUACCGAUGGGAAAGAAGAAAUGGGAAUGUGACAAUUAUUGAGAAACUCAGGGGAAAAAGCAUCUUUUGAGAAGAAAAUGGACAUCAGACAUUCAUUGAAGAAAGCUGACAGUCAACAUAAUGAUGAGAGCUGUGUUAUACAAUGUUAAGGAUACUCGUUCAUCUUCUGCUGUGUCAGUCCUGUGGGACUUGAUGCCGGCUGGUACCAGUGUGACGUCUUUGCUUACUAAAUGAUCAAAGGGUGUCUGAAAUCAGCUCUGCCACAGUUGGUUUCCAACGGUUCUUCAGGACAUGGAGGCCACUACCUAACUGUUGCAAUGAACGAUUAUUUUGCCUUUCCACCUGAUGUUGACAAUCUGACCUGUGCGGUACUGAAAACAACUUGCACUGAAAUAUAUCUUAAAAUAUAUCAGUGCCCUUUGUUUUGCCUCAAAAUGCACACCAGUAAUGUUUUUUGUUGAAACCAGUUAUAUUUCCUAAUUAAACUAAGGCCUAGUCCUGGAUUAAGCUAAUCCCCUGUCCGGGAAACCGCCCCUAAAUGUUUUGUGACGGAAAUUUCUUUGAAUACACUUGUCAAGUUCAUUUUAAGUAUUUUUCUAAAUGUAAGAUAACAUGUUAAUGUUUCAGGACAAGUUAAAAAAUUUUGAUAACUUGCAUGUUGGAAACGAUUUCAGACAUUGUUCUAUUCAACAUGUUUAACACAGUUGCUUUUAAAUUCAAUGAAUUAUUUUAUAAAUAGUGUGUUAAAACGUAUCAAUGUAAUGUAUGUUUGAAGUAAUUAUACUUGCACUUACAUUUAUUUAAAUUAG